AUACGAAGGGGGCUAGCGUUGUUCGGAAUUACUGGGCGUAAAGCGUACGUAGGCGGACUGAUCAGUUGGGGGUGAAAUCCCAGGGCUUAACCCUGGAACUGCCUUCAAUACUGUCAGUCUUGAGAUUGGAAGAGGUGAGUGGAAUUCCUAGUGUAGAGGUGAAAUUCAUAGAUAUUAGGAGGAACACCAGUGGCGAAGGCGGCUCACUGGUCCAAUACUGACGCUGAGGUACGAAAGCGUGGGGAGCAAACAGGAUUAGAAACCCUAGUAGUCC
rnacentral:rRNA from 1 species